rnacentral:rRNA from 1 species
GAUGAACGCUGGCGGCGUGCCUAAUACAUGCAAGUCGAGCGAACAGACGAGGAGCUUGCUCCUCUGACGUUAGCGGCGGACGGGUGAGUAACACGUGGAUAACCUACCUAUAAGACUGGGAUAACUUCGGGAAACGGGAGCUAAUACCGGAUAAUAUAUUGAACCGCAUGGUUCAAUAGUGAAAGACGGUUUUUGUGUCACUUAUAGAGGGAUCCGCGCCGGAUUAGCUAGUUGGUAAGGUAACGGCUUACCAAGGCAACGAUGCGUAGCCGACCGGAGAGGGGGAUCGGCCACACUGGAACGGAGACACGGUCCAGACUCCUACGGGAGGCAGCAGUAGGGAAUCUUCCGCAAUGGGCGAAAGCCUGACGGAGCAACGCCGCGUGAGUGAUGAAGGUGUUCGGAUCGUAAAACUCUGUUAUUAGGGAAGAACAAAUGUGUAAGUAACUAUGCACGUCUUGACGGUACCUAAUCAGAAAGCCACGGCUAACUACGUG